UACGGGGGGGGCAAGCGUUGUUCGGAAUUACUGGGCGUAAAGGGCUCGUAGGCGGCCAACUAAGUCAGACGUGAAAUCCCUCGGCUUAACCGGGGAACUGCGUCUGAUACUGGAUGGCUUGAGAUUGGGAGAGGGAUGCGGAAUUCCGGGUGUAGCGGUGGAAUGCGUAGAGAUCCGGAAGAACACCGGUGGCGGAGGCGGCCUGCUGGGCAGUUGCUGACACUGAGGCGCGACAGCGUGGGGAGCAAACAGG
rnacentral:rRNA from 1 species